CAGGUAGGACUACCCGCUGAACUUAAGCAUAUCAUAGGGAACGGGGGGAA
rnacentral:rRNA from 1 species